rnacentral:rRNA from 1 species
GAUUGACCUCGGAUCAGGUAGGGAUACCCGCUGAACUUAAGCAUAUCAAUAAGCCGGGAGGAA